rnacentral:rRNA from 1 species
AACGAACGCUGGCGGCAUGCCUAACACAUGCAAGUCGAACGAAGCCUUCGGGCUUAGUGGCGCACGGGUGCGUAACACGUGGGAAUCUGCCCUUUGGUUCGGAAUAACAGUUAGAAAUGACUGCUAAUACCGGAUAAUGACGUAAGUCCAAAGAUUUAUCGCCGAAGGAUGAGCCCGCGUAGGAUUAGGUAGUUGGUGGGGUAAUGGCCCACCAAGCCGACGAUCCUUAGCUGGUCUGAGAGGAUGAUCAGCCACACUGGGACUGAGACACGGCCCAGACUCCUACGGGAGGCAGCAGUGGGGAAUAUUGGACAAUGGGCGAAAGCCUGAUCCAGCAAUGCCGCGUGAGUGAUGAAGGCCUUAGGGUUGUAAAGCUCUUUUACCUAGGGAUGAUAAUGACAGUACCUGGAGAAUAAGCUCCGGCUAACUCCGUGCCAGCAGCCGCGGUAAU